GCCGACCAACGCGGGAGCCCGGUGGAGACCGGGCUGAGAGGACGGCUGACAGCCGCCGACCGCCAGAACCUGCUCCGGAUAAUGCCGGCGAAGGGAGUUUGCGCGAUGACGAG
rnacentral:ncRNA from 2 species